CUGCACUGUCUUUGAACCUGGUUGGUCUCGUCCGUGACCUCUUAGGCCAAGCUACAAGUGCUAAAUCAAAUUCAGGCUUGCUCAUAACUGGAGCCUCCUGGCAGCACCACCAUGUUGCUCUUUUAAAUGCAAGUCACAGCU